GACGAACGCUGGCGGCGUGCUUAACACAUGCAAGUCGAACGGAAAGGCCCUGCUUUUGUGGGGUGCUCGAGUGGCGAACGGGUGCGUAACACGUGAGUAACCUGCCCUUGACUUUGGGAUAACUUCAGGAAACUGGGGCUAAUACCGGAUAGGAGCUCCUGCUGCAUGGUGGGGGUUGGAAAGUUUCGGCGGUUGGGGAUGGACUCGCGGCUUAUCAGCUUGUUGGUGGGGUAGUGGCUUACCAAGGCUUUGACGGGUAGCCGGCCUGAGAGGGGGACCGGCCACAUUGGGACUGAGAUACGGCCCAGACUCCUACGGGAGGCAGCAGUGGGGAAUAUUGCACAAUGGGCGGAAGCCUGAUGCAGCAACGCCGCGUGCGGGAUGACGGCCUUCGGGUUGUAAACCGCUUUCGCCUGUGACGAAGCGUGAGUGACGGUAAUGGGUAAAGAAGCACCGGCUAACUACGUG
rnacentral:rRNA from 1 species